rnacentral:snRNA from 1 species
GUUUUUCAAAGAUAUUUGAUAAAAUUGGAAUAAUAUAGAGAAGAUUCACAUGGCUUAUGUGUAAGGAUGAUAUGUAUAAAGUGAGAAAUGGUCCAAUUUUUC